GACGAACGCUGGCGGCGUGCUUAACACAUGCAAGUCGAGCGGAAAGGCCCUUCGGGGUACUCGAGCGGCGAACGGGUGAGUAACACGUGAGUAACCUGCCCCAGACUUUGGGAUAACCCUCGGAAACGGGGGCUAAUACCGGAUACGACACAGCUUCGCAUGGGGUCUGUGUGGAAAGUUUUUCGGUUUGGGAUGGGCUCGCGGCCUAUCAGCUUGUUGGUGGGGUGAUGGCCUACCAAGGCGACGACGGGUAGCCGGCCUGAGAGGGCGACCGGCCACACUGGGACUGAGACACGGCCCAGACUCCUACGGGAGGCAGCAGUGGGGAAUAUUGCACAAUGGGCGGAAGCCUGAUGCAGCGACGCCGCGUGAGGGAUGACGGCCUUCGGGUUGUAAACCUCUUUCAGCAGAGACGAAGCGUAAGUGACGGUACCUGCAGAAGAAGCGCCGGCCAACUACGUG
rnacentral:rRNA from 1 species